ensembl:lncRNA
UUUCUAAAUAGAGCAUAUUUGAAUGUUCUGUGUGCAUGUUACCUUUUCUAUAAGGUCAGCUUUUGGGAAACUCAGUAAUGUUCUUGAGCAUUCACUGAUUGCUUCACUUGAAUCCAAGGACACCCAGCAGUAAACAGCAGAGGACCCAGAGGAGAGCAAGCAAAGCUGAAUUAGGAGCAGUUUGAGCAUCUCCAGUUCCUGAAAGUUAUGGAUGCUCAAGACAUUCUGAAUUUAACUUAAUGAGAUUAGUCUUUUGCUUGAAUUCACUAAUCCGCAGUGACUACAAUAUAAAAUCUUGCAAUUCUGUUACAACAUACCACCUACUUGCUCUUUCUUGGCCUCACAAAUUGUUUCUCUGAGGGGCUGCUACGAAAGAAGAAUAUACUUUUAUACCAGGAACUACCAUUUAAGUUAUCUCCUUCCAUCCAUAAUGCUGUUUUACAGACUGAAAUAAGAAGAGCUGGUACUGUUAAAGGAGCUCUCUCAAUCCUUUUUACUGGUGUUUUCCUGGAAAAAAAAAGUCACAGUGUUUGUUUGUUUUACAGUUUAUUUUGUUUUAGUUUUACUUGUGUUCAGCAAAGAUUAUUGACACUGAAAAGUGAAAGCCUGAGAAGAAAUGGAGGAGCCCAGAAAAAAUACUGGAAAGAAAGAGAAAGAAGGAUUGAAAGAAAGUCAAGAGAGAAGUACGCUAAGAAGCUGAGAGACUAUUUCUGAAAGAAUUUCCCUGUUUUUUCCUGCUAAAUGACGUUUUAAAUAAGAGAGAAUUCAAGCUUCAGUUCCCAAAGAAGAGGGGCACCAAGAGAAUGGCCUGGUGGGAGCGCGUCUGUUAGCUGCGCCCAACUCACUGCAGCAUCAGAAACCGUUCACAGACACUCAGCCACUUCACUGGAAAGAAGUAGAUUGAACACAAGUAGCUUUGAGCUUUGCUCUCGUGAUUGAAGCCAGCUCACGUUUAGGUACCGCUGGACAAAACGGAACCGCGCGUCUCGAUAUCUGUCUCCCCUAGAGUAAGAAAUAGGUAGCAGUCCCUUAAUUCUUCUAACUUAGUUUAGAAUCAGUUAAUUAAUCAGUAGCUGUGACUAAUUACUCACUUCCAAUUAACCUGGAAACUGUUACAAAAUGAAGCCAGAGAACAUGACUUCCA